UGGAGAGUUUGAUCCUGGCUCAGGACGAACGCUGGCGGCGUGCUUAACACAUGCAAGUCGAACGGAAAGGCCCUUCGGGGUACUCGAGUGGCGAACGGGUGAGUAACACGUGGGCAAUCUGCCCUGCACACCGGGAUAAGCCUGGGAAACUGGGUCUAAUACCGGAUAGGACCACUUGGCGCAUGCCUUGUGGUGGAAAGCUUUUGCGGUGUGGGAUGGGCCCGCGGCCUAUCAGCUUGUUGGUGGGGUGACGGCCUACCAAGGCGACGACGGGUAGCCGGCCUGAGAGGGUGUCCGGCCACACUGGGACUGAGAUACGGCCCAGACUCCUACGGGAGGCAGCAGUGGGGAAUAUUGCACAAUGGGCGCAAGCCUGAUGCAGCGACGCCGCGUGGGGGAUGACGGCCUUCGGGUUGUAAACCUCUUUCACCAUCGACGAAGGUUCGGGUUUUCUCGGAUUGACGGUAGGUGGAGAAGAAGCACCGGCCAACUACGUGCCAGCAGCCGCGGUA
rnacentral:rRNA from 1 species